UACGGGGGGGGCUAGCGUUGUUCGGAAUUACUGGGCGUAAAGGGCGCGUAGGCGGCCUGAUAAGUAGGGGGUGAAAUCCUGCGGCUUAACCGCAGGGCUGCCUUCUAAACUGUCAGGCUAGAGCACAGUAGAGGCAGGUGGAAUUCCCGGUGUAGCGGUGGAAUGCGUAGAGAUCGGGAAGAACAUCAGUGGCGAAGGCGGCCUGCUGGGCUGUUGCUGACGCUGAGGAGCGAAAGCGUGGGGAGCGAACAGG
rnacentral:rRNA from 1 species